CGUUAAUCGGAUAUCAGUCGACUAGCACUUCGUCGGGUACUAAACAAUGAGGAAAUAGUUAUCUUGUAGAUUUUUCGAGUCAUCCAUCUCCCGAAGUCUCGAUGCUUAGUUGUUUUGUAGAGGCCUCCAGGUGAGAUGGACUUUCUCAGAUUUUUCUCCUCGGAUUUGCCAGUCUUGUUAGAGUUUUUCCUUGGAUUUU
rnacentral:lncRNA from 1 species